rnacentral:rRNA from 1 species
UGGGGAAUAUUGCACAAUGGAGGGAACUCUGAUGCAGCGACGCCGCGUGAACGAAGAAGGCUUUCGAGUCGUAAAGUACUUUUAUAUGGGAAGAUAAUGACCGUACCAUAAGAAAAAGCCCCGGCUAACUACGUGCCAGCAGCCGCGGUAAUACGUAGGGGGCUAGCGUUGUCCGGAAUCACUGGGCGUAAAGGGUUCGCAGGCGGAAAUGCAAGUCAGGUGUAAAAGGCAGUAGCUUAACUACUGUAAGCAUUUGAAACUGCAUAUCUUGAGAAGAGUAGAGGUAAGUGGAAUUUUUAGUGUAGCGGUGAAAUGCGUAGAUAUUAAAAAGAAUAACGGUGGCGAAGGCGACUUACUGGGAUCAUUCUGACGCUGAGGAACGAAAGCGUGGGUAGCAAACAGG